AUUGGGCGUGGUGGCGUGCGCCUGUAAUCCCAGCAGCUCAGGAGACUGAGGCAGGAGGAUUACCAGUUCAAAGCCAGCCUCAGCAAUUUAGGGAGGCCCUCAGCAACUAAAACUCCUGUCUUUA
rnacentral:sRNA from 1 species